rnacentral:rRNA from 1 species
GGAGUUAGCCGGUGCUUCUUCUGUGAGUGAUGUCCUUCCUGCCGGCUAUUAACCCGCAGGCCUUCUUCCUCACUGAAAGUGCUUUACAACCCGAAGGCCUUCUUCACACACGCGGCAUGGCUGGAUCAGGGUUGCCCCCAUUGUCCAAUAUUCCCCACUGCUGCCUCCCGUAGGAGUCUGGGCCGUGUCUCAGUCCCAGUGUGGCUGAUCAUCCUCUCAGACCAGCUACGGAUCGUCGCCUUGGUGAGCCGUUACCUCACCAACCAGCUAAUCCGACAUAGGCUCAUCCGAUAGCGCGAGGCCCGAAGGUCCCCCGCUUUCCCCCGUAGGGCGUAUGCGGUAUUAGCCUGGGUUUCCCCAGGUUAUCCCCCACUACCGGGCAGAUUCCUAUGCAUUACUCACCCGUCCGCCGCUCGCCACCAGGGAGCAAGCUCCCCGUGCUGCCGCUCGACUUGCAUCGUGUUAGGCCUGCCGCCAGCGUUCAAUCUGAGCCAGAAUCAAACUCUGA